rfam:Ixodes scapularis strain Wikel colony gcontig_1108378409636, whole genome shotgun sequence.
CUGGUUAGCUCAAUUGGUAGAGCGCUCAACUGGAAGUGAAGAGGUCUCUGGUUUAAUACCAGGACCAG